UGAAUACGAGACGCUACGGCGUUGAAGCAGUGUAUGUCAUACUUCCAAGAAAAGCUCGCAAGGUCAUAAACAAAUAAUGCCUGUACCAUAACCGACACAGGUGGGUAGGUAGAGUAUACUAAGGGGCGCGAGAUAACUCUCUCUAAGGAACUCGGCAAAAUGACUCCGUAACUUCGGGAGAAGGAGUGCCUUAUUCUAUAAGGUUGCAAUAACAAGAUCCAAGCAACUGUUUAUCAAAAACACAGGUCUCCGCUAAGUCGUAAGACGAUGUAUGGGGGCUGACGCCUGCCCAGUGCCAGAAGGUUAAAGAAGUUGGUUAGCAAUUGCGAAGCUGAUAACUGAAGCCCUGGUGAACGGCGGCCGUAACUAUAACGGUCCUAAGGUAGCGAAAUUCCUUGUCGGGUAAGUUCCGACCCGCACGAAAGGCGUAAUGAUUUGGAUACUGUCUCAGAGAGGGGCUCGGUGAAAUAGACUUGUCUGUGAAGAUGCGGACUACCUGCACCUGGACAGAAAGACCCUAUGAAGCUUUACUGUAACUUGAAAUUGAAACUGGACUUUACUUGCGCAGGAUAGGUGGGAGGCGUUGAGAGUAUUCUUGCGGGAAUAUUGGAGCCAUCGGUGAGAUACCACUCUUGUAAUGUUAGGUUUCUAACUUGGUAUCAUGAUCUGGUCCAAGAACAGUUUCAGGCGGGCAGUUUGACUGGGGCGGUCGCCUCCUAAACGGUAACGGAGGCGUACAAAGGUUUCCUCUGAACGGGUAGAAAUCGUAUCUAGAGUGUAAAGGCAUAAGGAAGCUUGACUGUGAGACCUACAAGUCGAGCAGGGACGAAAGUCGGUCUUAGUGAUCUGACGGUGCUGAGUGGAAAGGCCGUCACUCAACGGAUAAAAGUUACUCUAGGAUAACAGGCUGAUCUCCCCCAAGAGUUCACAUCGACGGGGAGGUUUGGCACCUCGAUGUCGGCUCAUCGCAUCCUGGGGCGGUAGUACGUCCCAAGGGUUGGGCUGUUCGCCCAUGAAAGCGGUACGCGAGCUGGGUUCAGAACGUCGUGAGACAGUUCGGUCCAUAUCCGGUGUAGGCGUUAGAAUAUUGAGAGGAGCCUUCUUUAGUACGAGAGGACCGAGAAGGACACACCUAUGGUGUACCAGUUAUCGCGCCAACGGUAAACGCUGGGUAGCUAUGUGUGGAGUGGAUAACCGCUGAAAGCAUCUAAGUGGGAAGCCCACCUCAAGAUUAGUAUUCUCAUC
rnacentral:rRNA from 1 species